rnacentral:lncRNA from 1 species
CAGAUAGUAGAAGAGCUUCAUGCUGCACGUGUGGGAAAAAGUGUGGAUUUACCUGGAGAGUUAAUGAGUAUGGAAAUUGACUUAGAAGAUGAUGUACAUUCCUCCUCUGGUUUUGACAAACUUGUGUUAAUAAUUCCCUGGGUCGUUAUGCAAGAGCUAGAUCGUAUGAAGGAAGGAAAACUACUAAAACGUGCCCAGCACAAAGCUAUACCUGCAGUUCAUUUCAUCAACGACAGUCUCAAAAAUCAAGAUAGAAAGCUAUGGGGUCAGUCAAUACAACUUGCAUCCCAAAAACAUU